CUUGCCGUGGAAUUGGGAGAGGUUGAAAACACUGUGCCUGUCAAUGGAUGAAGGUGGCACAGGCUUAGAGAAUUAUACAUAUUUGGAUGUUCAAUUGAGUCCUCACUGCAGAAAUGAGAGGAUGAUUACCAAACUCGGUGAUAUGACAGUAACUUACAGAUUAUCGUAUGAGUUUGAAACAAUGAGAUUCUAUAGUUUUUGUUGAUAAUAUAUCAUUCAGCUGUGCUUCUUUUGCCUUCAAUUUUUUUAUAUAUUUUCUGCUGUGUUUUAUGUAUCAAUAUUUUAGCAUUGCUAACUUAUGGUCCUUUAAGGAGGUAAGUAAGUUUGUUGGUGCUUAAGUGAACUGGGGUGUGAGGUUCAAUGGUUUGAAAGAUGUCAGAUGUCUCAUAUACAGUAAAAAAGGUUUUCUGUUAAAAACUUAAAAUAACUUUGGUUUAUAGGCAGGUUUACAUUUUAAAUUUUCUUCAGAGUCAAUACUUCCUUUGAGGAGGUUCUUUAUGCUUGCAAGGAUGUGCAGUGCAGGACUGUACCUUUCCCUAAGGUGUUGUUCUUCUCUGAAUUUUAUUAUUCAAAUAUCUGUCUUGGACUUCAGAUGUCAAUUGAUUGGGCUUUGUAUUAUGGCGCCUCUUCUUUAUAUCUUGAAAGGAUUGUUCUGCCUCAGUAAUCUUGGAUGCUGUAUACUGAGGUUGACAAUAGUGUGUGAUGUUUAGUUAUAGAAAAGAAGAUAAGAUGAAGAGGAACCAUUGGAGUAUAUGACCUGCGGAGAGUAUGAAAACUUGUACCACUCUGUAAUGGUACAAGUACAACUUGCUACUGAUAAUGUGGAAGUGCUUCAGGGAAUAAGAAAGAAGUAGUUUGGUCUAAAGGAUUUGAACAAGUUGGGAAUUUGAGUGGUUAAAGCUUGGAGGUCCAAAUUUCCAAAUAGUUAGGUCAAUUUGUUUUGCAAGGGGAAGUAUAAUUACAAUUUACAUAAGAGAAAAUUCCACAAAUGAUCACUCAACUAUG